rnacentral:rRNA from 1 species
GACGAACGCUGGCGGCGUGCCUAACACAUGCAAGUCGAACGGAAGCAAAGAUUUCGGUUUUUGCUUUAGUGGCGAACGGGUGAGUAACGCGUGAGGAACCUGCCUUUCAGUGGGGGACAACAGUUGGAAACGACUGCUAAUACCGCAUAAUGCUUUUGAGUGGCAUCACUUAAAAGUCAAAGAUUUAUUGCUGAAAGAUGGCCUCGCGUCUGAUUAGCUAGUUGGUGGGGUAACGGCCCACCAAGGCGACGAUCAGUAGCCGGUCUGAGAGGAUGAACGGCCACAUUGGGACUGAGAUACGGCCCAGACUCCUACGGGAGGCAGCAGUGGGGAAUAUUGCACAAUGGGGGAAACCCUGAUGCAGCAACGCCGCGUGAGUGAUGACGGUCUUCGGAUUGUAAAGCUCUGUCUUCAGGGACGAUAAUGACGGUACCUGAGGAGGAAGCCACGGCUAACUACGUGCCAGCAGCCGCCGUAA